UAGGGAAUUUUCCACAAUGGACGAAAGUCUGACGCAGCCACGCCGCGUGAGUGAGGAAGGCCUUCGGGUUGUAAAGCUCUGUCGCCUGGGAAAAACGGCUAUCCGGGGAAAGUUCGGGUAGCGUGAUGGUACCAGGAAAGGAAGCACCGGCAAACUCUGUGCCAGCAGCCGCGGUAAUACAGAGGGUGCAAGCGUUGUUCGGAAUUACUGGGCGUAAAGCGUGCGUAGUCGGUAUUGAGAGUCGCGGGUGAAAUCCCAGGGCUUAACCCUGGAACUGCCUGUGAGACCUCAGUACUAGAGUGUGAGAGGGGAUAGUGGAAUACCCGGUGUAGCGGUGAAAUGCGUAGAGAUCGGAAGGAACACCAGUGGCGAAGGCGGCUACCUGGCCUGAUACUGACACUGAGGCACGAAAGCGUGGGGAGCAAACAGGAUUAGAUACCCAAGUAGUCCCUGAGCGGGCUGGCAAGGCGCAU
rnacentral:rRNA from 1 species